AGCAUAAUAAUUUGUUUUUUAAUUGAAAAAUAGAAUGAAAGGUAUCUCAGACUUUGUUGGUUUUUAUUAUAUGUCAAACUUUUAAUUUUAGUGAAAAUACUAAAAUUAUACUUUUAGACUAAAAGACCCUAUGAAGCUGACUAAUAUUAUAUUAUUAUGAUUAUGGCUAUUAGGUUAUUUGGGGUAAAUUUAAAAAGUAAUAUUUA
rnacentral:rRNA from 1 species